UACGGAGGAUGCGAGCGUUAUCCGGAUUUAUUGGGUUUAAAGGGUGCGUAGGCGGCUUUUUAAGUCAGCGGUGAAAUUUUGCAGCUUAACUGUAACAGUGCCGUUGAUACUGGGGAGCUAGGAUUUGGUUGCUGUGGGUGGAAUGUGUGGUGUAGCGGUGAAAUGCUUAGAGAUCACACAGAACACCGAUUGCGAAGGCAGCACACUAAGUCAUUAUUGACGCUGAGGCACGAAAGUGUGGGGAUCAACAGGAUUAGA
rnacentral:rRNA from 1 species